CUUCUCUAGGAGCAGUUCUCAUCAAAAGAAAGGAGUGUUUCUCUCGCUUGCAUCGUUCCUCAUAGUGGCGUUCAGAUCUUCAAUUGCUCGAGUUCAAAUAUACAAAAUCUUAUUCAAAAUCUUUAAUGAGGGAUAAACUUCUGUGAUGUGGUCCUAAGAUUGGAAUGUUCACUUGGGGAGUUAGCCUUGCAUUCGUCAUCUGAUGCUUGUUGUUGGCUUAAAAAAGUCUCAGCAGCCCAAGGUGCAUCCACCUCUAAGAAGUCGAUCAAGAUGAAGCACUCCCUUCGCUCCUCUGGACUGCUGGAUAUUUUGGCAUCGGGCGAAGACAGCAUCAGGUCUUCUUGACAGGGGUGCUCCUGCCUCUUCCUCAGAAGGAAUUUUGUUUUUUGCUUAGUUCCUUUUGUCAUCUAUAUGUUCAUCCUUUUUAUUUUUGCUCUUUUGGUUUUUUCUGUAGCAGCACCUAGUUUUCUCCCUAUGAUUUAGCAUAUCCUCCAACUCGGAGCUAGCCCUAAAUCAUCUGUAGAAUACUAAUUUUGUACGUUCUUUA